AUGGUCCACAGCAGCCAUGAAUGCAAUGCAAAACAAUUUAUAAACUUUCUUAAAAGCAUUAUGAGGUAUGAGUUACUGGGGGCGGGGGCAAGGAGGGUCAUGAGGGGAGGGCAGAGAUCUGUUGCAUGGUUAUCAAGCACGAACAUUGUAGAUAACAGUGUCAGAAACUUGGUCACACAAGGAGAUUCUUCUAGUUCCUCCUACCAGUUCACUCUGCAAAGACGUUUGUUUUCUGCCGGGACUGUAAGGAAGCAUAUCAUGAAGGGGAUUGCGACUCACUGUUCGAACCCUCAGGAGCCACUUCUCAGCUCAGGGAUACUCAAGUUCAAGAUCACUGGGUACAGAAAACAGGAAUACUAA
rnacentral:lncRNA from 1 species